UGCGUAGGUGGUUGUUUAAGUCUGCUGUGAAAGCCCCGGGCUCAACCUGGGAAUGGCAGUGGAUACUGGACAGCUAGAGUGCGGUAGAGGGUAGUGGAUUCCCGGUGUAGCAGUGAAAUGCGUAGAGAUCGGGAGGAACACCAGUGGCGAAGGCGGCUACCUGGACCAGCACUGACACUGAAGCACGAAAGCGUGGGGAGCAAACA
rnacentral:rRNA from 1 species